GUAGGUGGCAAGCGUUGUCCGGAAUUAUUGGGCGUAAAGCGCGCGCAGGUGGUUCUUUAAGUCUGAUGUGAAAGCCCCCGGCUCAACCGGGGAGGGUCAUUGGAAACUGGGGAACUUGAGUGCAGGAGAGGAAAGUGGAAUUCCACGUGUAGCGGUGAAAUGCGUAGAUAUGUGGAGGAACACCAGUGGCGAAGGCGACUUUCUGGCCUGUAACUGACACUGAGGCGCGAAAGCGUGGGGAGCAAACAGGGAUUAGAUACCCUGGUAGUCCACGCCGUAAACGAUGAGUGCUAAUUGUUGGGGGGGUUUCCGCCCCCUCAGUGCUGCAGCUAACGCAUUAAGCACUCCGCCUGGGAGUACGGUCGCAAGACUG
rnacentral:rRNA from 1 species